CAGUCGCCGCGGUAAUACGUAGGGUGCAAGCGUUAAUCGGAAUUACUGGGCGUAAAGCGUGCGCAGGCGGUUAUGCAAGACAGAUGUGAAAUCCCCGGGCUUAAUCUGGGAACUGCAUUUGUGACUGCAUAGCCAGAGUGCGGCAGAGGGGGAUGGAAUUCCGCGUGUAGCAGUGAAAUGCGUAGAUAUGCGGAGGAACACCGAUGGCGAAGGCAAUCCCCUGGGCCUGCACUGACGCUCAUGCACGAAAGCGUGGGGAGCAAACAGGAUUAGAUACACCAGUAGUCCCUGUCUCUUAUAC
rnacentral:rRNA from 1 species